GAUGAACGCUGGCGGCGUGCCUAAUACAUGCAAGUCGAGCGAACGGACGAGAAGCUUGCUUCUCUGAUGUUAGCGGCGGACGGGUGAGUAACACGUGGAUAACCUACCUAUAAGACUGGGAUAACUUCGGGAAACCGGAGCUAAUACCGGAUAAUAUUUUGAACCGCAUGGUUCAAAAGUGAAAGACGGUCUUGCUGUCACUUAUAGAUGGAUCCGCGCUGCAUUAGCUAGUUGGUAAGGUAACGGCUUACCAAGGCAACGAUGCAUAGCCGACCUGAGAGGGUGAUCGGCCGCACUGGAACUGAGACACGGUCCAGACUCCUACGGGAGGCAGCAGUAGGGAAUCUUCCGCAAUGGGCGAAAGCCUGACGGAGCAACGCCGCGUGAGUGAUGAAGGUCUUCGGAUCGUAAAACUCUGUUAUUAGGGAAGAACAUAUGUGUAAGUAACUGUACACAUCUUGACGGUACCUAAUCAGAAAGCCACGGCUAACUACGUG
rnacentral:rRNA from 1 species